UACGUAGGGUGCGAGCGUUGUCCGGAAUUACUGGGCGUAAAGAGCUCGUAGGUGGUUUGUCGCGUCGUCUGUGAAAUUCCGGGGCUUAACUCCGGGCGUGCAGGCGAUACGGGCAUAACUUGAGUACUGCAGGGGAGACUGGAAUUCCUGGUGUAGCGGUGAAAUGCGCAGAUAUCAGGAGGAACACCGGUGGCGAAGGCAGGUCUCUGGGCCAUAACUGACGCUGAGAAGCGAAAGCAUGGGUAGCGAACAGGAUUAGAUA
rnacentral:rRNA from 1 species